GAUGAAGAACGUAGCGAAAUGCGAUACUUGGUGUGAAUUGCAGAAUCCCGUGAACCAUCGAGUCUUUGAACGCAAGUUGCGCCCGAAGCCACUAGGCCGAGGGCACGCCUGCCUGGGCGUCACAUGCCGUUGCCCCCCCAUCUACUCCUUCGGGAUUGCGGGGGGGCGGAUGAUGGCCUCCCGUGCGCCUAGCCGCGCGGUUGGCAUAAAUACCAAGUCCUCGGCGACGCACGCCACGACAAUCGGUGGUUGCGAAACCUCGGUUGCCCGUCGUGUGCGUUCGUCGCGCAUCGAGGGCUCGAAAAAAUGCUCGGCUCCGGCUGGGCUUUCAACGCGACCCCAGGUCAGGCGGGGUUACCCGCUGAAUUUAAGCAUAUCAAUAAGCGGAGGA
rnacentral:misc_RNA from 1 species